CUUUGCAGAACACCAUGGACUGGCGCCUUGUCGUAGAAGCCGUCUGUUCUUUCACUUUUCCCAAAGAGCUAACACUUCUCUGCUGCUCUCUGGAUCCUCCUCCCCCUACCUUGAACCCUCAAGAUGAAAGGUGAGUUCUCUUCUGCCCCAUGUGGGUGGGAGAGGGUGGGAUGCCAAGGACAGGGGUCUCAUUCUCUCCCACCCAUAGAAAUGGUGCUACCCAGCUCAUGUCUGGGCCUUUGAAUCCGGGGACUUCUUUAAGUCCGUCUCGUUCUGAAUCAAGAAGAUGCUGCAAUCAGAACCACUACACUACCUGCCUCAGGAAUCUGCUCCAAGGUGAAGCUGAAAGAACAGAUGGUGUCAACAUUUUGAAAGAGCAGACUCAUAGCACCCACCCACCCCUGAGAAUCCAUCUUCAUGGCCAACUCUGCCUGACCCGGGAGACCACCACCCACAUCAUCCUGGAGCCAAGCCUCUACCCCGGGAUGACUUCAUCAUCUCCCUCCUGUCUUUUUCUUCUUCCUCCUUUCCUGUAAUUCUAUUUCUUUCCUUUUGUUCCUUCCUUGCUUGAGAGACUCAAAGCACCCGUGACUCUGUUUCCCCAUUUACCCCCUUUUGAAUUUGCACUAAGUCGAUUGCACUGGUUUGGAGUCCCGGAGAUAGCUUUGAGUCUCUCCGUAUGAAUGUAUACAGCGAGUGUGUAAGCCUCUUUGGCAAUGCUGCCCCAGUACCCACCUGUCAUCCAUCUCCGUCUGAGGGCAACUGGGUGUGGCCGUGUGCUUGAGGCCUCGCCUUCCCCUCGCCUAGUCUGGAAGCA
ensembl:lincRNA H19 H19, imprinted maternally expressed transcript